rnacentral:rRNA from 1 species
UACGGGGGGGGCAAGCGUUGUUCGGAAUUACUGGGCGUAAAGGGCUCGUAGGCGGCCAACUAAGUCGGACGUGAAAUCCCCAGGCUCAACCUGGGAACUGCGUCCGAUACUGGAUGGCUUGAAUCCGGGAGAGGGAUGCAGAAUUCCAGGUGUAGCGGUGAAAUGCGUAGAUAUCUGGAGGGAUACCGGUGGCGAAGGCGGCAUCCUGGACCGGCAUUGACGCUGAGGAGCGAAAGCCAGGGGAGCAAACGGG